CUCGUAGGCGGUUCGUCGCGUCCGGUGUGAAAGUCCAUCGCUUAACGGUGGAUCCGCGCCGGGUACGGGCGGGCUUGAGUGCGGUAGGGGAGACUGGAAUUCCCGGUGUAACGGUGGAAUGUGUAGAUAUCGGGAAGAACACCAAUAGCGAAGGCAGGUCUCUGGGCCGUCACUGACGCUGAGGAGCGAAAGCGUGGGGAGCGAACA
rnacentral:rRNA from 1 species